rnacentral:rRNA from 1 species
UACGUAGGGGGCUAGCGUUGUCCGGAUUUAUUGGGCGUAAAGAGCGUGUAGGCGGCCAGGUAGGUCUGGUGUGAAAACUCGAGGCUUAACCUUGAGAUGUCAUCGGAAACCAUUUGGCUAGAGUCCGGAAGAGGAAAGUGGAAUUCCUGGUGUAGCGGUGAAAUGCGCAGAUAUCAGGAAGAACACCAAUGGCGAAAGCAGCUUUCUGGGACGGAACUGACGCUGAGACGCGAAAGCGUGGGGAGCGAACAGG